CCUCUAGUUCUGGAUUCGCCCACCCCAGGGAAAAGACCCUAUGGUGUAGUUUUUAAGGGAACGAGCAGGAGGCUUUGAGGAAUUGUUUCACCCAGAGGUAUCUGGAACUCACUGCCUGAAAGGAUAUUGAGAUGGGCUGUUGAAGCACCACAGCGCACAAGGCUGAGGGGAGAAACGCUGGAUUGAAAUGGACGGUUGCCAGUUGGUACAGACAUGACAGGCUAAAGGGCCUUUUCCCAUGCUGCGGAAAGCCCACUGGAACCUGCCUAUCCAGCAGGCCAUCCCUUUGUGUUUUGUGUUCACCCCCACUUUCUUGUGUUUGUGCUCGUUUUAGCUGCUGAGAAAGAUGAGUUCGAGUGACACACCGCUGGGAACCGUGGCCCUCCUGCAGGAGAAGCAGAAAGCACAGAAAACACCUUACAUCGUCCUCAGUGGGAGCGGGAAGAGCAUGAACGUAAACACCAUAACGAAAUGAGACUCCUGGACCCAAGGACUGGACUUUGGCACCGAUGUGGGAGGGGGUUAGGGUUCCUUUUACAGCAGGGAAGGGAAAAGAUUUGGUCACUGGCUAGAUCUUGCUGUUCUAUUUACUCUUGAACUUUUCUUCUGUACAUUAAUAAAGAGACUUUUUUUUUCCCUUUU